rnacentral:rRNA from 1 species
UAGGGAAUCUUCGGCAAUGGACGGAANUCUGGACCGAGCAACGCCGCGUGAGUGAAGAAGGUUUUCGGAUCGUAAAGCUCUGUUGUAAGAGAAGAACGAGUGUGAGAGUGGAAAGUUCACACUGUGACGGUAUCUUACCAGAAAGGGACGGCUAACUACGUGCCAGCAGCCGCGGUAAUACGUAGGUCCCGAGCGUUGUCCGGAUUUAUUGGGCGUAAAGCGAGCGCAGGCGGUUAGAUAAGUCUGAAGUUAAAGGCUGUGGCUUAACCAUAGUACGCUUUGGAAACUGUUUAACUUGAGUGCAAGAGGGGAGAGUGGAAUUCCAUGUGUAGCGGUGAAAUGCGUAGAUAUAUGGAGGAACACCGGUGGCGAAAGCGGCUCUCUGGCUUGUAACUGACGCUGAGGCUCGAAAGCGUGGGGAGCAAACAGGAUUAGAUACCCUGGUAGUCCACGCCGUAAACGAUGAGUGCUAGGUGUUAGACCCUUUCCGGGGUUUAGUGCCGCAGCUAACGCAUUAAGCACUCCGCCUGGGGAGUACGACCGCAAGUUG